rnacentral:rRNA from 1 species
GGGUUGUGAGGUUAAGCGACUAAGCGUACACGGUGGAUGCCCUGGCAGUCAGAGGCGAUGAAGGACGUGCUAAUCUGCGAAAAGCGUCGGUAAGGUGAUAUGAACCGUUACAGCCGGCGAUGUCCGAAUGGGGAAACCCAGUGUGAUUCGUCACACUAUCGUUAACUGAAUACAUAGGUUAACGAGGCGAACCGGGGGAACUGAAACAUCUAAGUACCCCGAGGAAAAGAAAUCAACCGAGAUUCCCCCAGUAGCGGCGAGCGAACGGGGAGCAGCCCAGAGUCUGAAUCAGCUUGUGUGUUAGUGGAACGGUCUGGAAAGUCCGACGGUACAGGGUGAUAGUCCCGUACACCAAAAUGCACAGGUUGUGAACUCGAAGAGUAGGGCGGGACACGUGGUAUCCUGUCUGAAUAUGGGGGGACCAUCCUCCAAGGCUAAAUACUCCUGACUGACCGAUAGUGAACCAGUACCGUGAGGGAAAGGCGAAAAGAACCCCGGCGAGGGGAGUGAAAAAGAACCUGAAACCGUGUACGUACAAGCAGUGGGAGCACCUUCGGGUGUGACUGCGUACCUUUUGUAUAAUGGGUCAGCGACUUAUAUUCUGUAGCAAGGUUAACCGUAUAGGGGAGCCGCAGGGAAACCGAGUCUUAACUGGGCGUUAAGUUGCAGGGUAUAGACCCGAAACCCGGUGAUCUAGCCAUGGGCAGGUUGAAGGUUGGGUAACACUAACUGGAGGACCGAACCGACUAAUGUUGAAAAAUUAGCGGAUGACUUGUGGCUGGGGGUGAAAGGCCAAUCAAACCGGGAGAUAGCUGGUUCUCCCCGAAAGCUAUUUAGGUAGCGCCUCGUGAACUCAUCUUCGGGGGUAGAGCACUGUUUCGGCUAGGGGGUCAUCCCGACUUACCAACCCGAUGCAAACUACGAAUACCGAAGAAUGUUAUCACGGGAGACACACGGCGGGUGCUAACGUCCGUCGUGAAGAGGGAAACAACCCAGACCGCCAGCUAAGGUCCCAAAGUCAUGGUUAAGUGGGAAACGAUGUGGGAAGGCACAGACAGCCAGGAUGUUGGCUUAGAAGCAGCCAUCAUUUAAAGAAAGCGUAAUAGCUCACUGGUCGAGUCGGCCUGCGCGGAAGAUGUAACGGGGCUAAACCAUGCACCGAAGCUGCGGCAGCGACACUAUGUGUUGUUGGGUAGGGGAGCGUUCUGUAAGCCUGCGAAGGUGACCUGUGAGGGUUGCUGGAGGUAUCAGAAGUGCGAAUGCUGACAUAAGUAACGAUAAAGCGGGUGAAAAGCCCGCUCGCCGGAAGACCAAGGGUUCCUGUCCAACGUUAAUCGGGGCAGGGUGAGUCGACCCCUAAGGCGAGGCCGAAAGGCGUAGUCGAUGGGAAACAGGUUAAUAUUCCUGUACUUGGUGUUACUGCGAAGGGGGGACGGAGAAGGCUAUGUUAGCCGGGCGACGGUUGUCCCGGUUUAAGCAUGUAGGCUGGUUAUCCAGGCAAAUCCGGAUAAUCAAGGCUGAGGUGUGAUGACGAGGCACUACGGUGCUGAAGUAACAAAUGCCCUGCUUCCAGGAAAAGCCUCUAAGCAUCAGGUAACAUCAAAUCGUACCCCAAACCGACACAGGUGGUCAGGUAGAGAAUACCAAGGCGCUUGAGAGAACUCGGGUGAAGGAACUAGGCAAAAUGGUGCCGUAACUUCGGGAGAAGGCACGCUGGUGUGUAGGUGAAGUCCCUGCGGAUGGAGCUGAGACCAGUCGAAGAUACCAGCUGGCUGCAACUGUUUAUUAAAAACACAGCACUGUGCAAACACGAAAGUGGACGUAUACGGUGUGACGCCUGCCCGGUGCCGGAAGGUUAAUUGAUGGGGUUAUCCGUAAGGAGAAGCUCUUGAUCGAAGCCCCGGUAAACGGCGGCCGUAACUAUAACGGUCCUAAGGUAGCGAAAUUCCUUGUCGGGUAAGUUCCGACCUGCACGAAUGGCGUAAUGAUGGCCAGGCUGUCUCCACCCGAGACUCAGUGAAAUUGAACUCGCUGUGAAGAUGCAGUGUACCCGCGGCAAGACGGAAAGACCCCGUGAACCUUUACUAUAGCUUGACACUGAACAUUGAGCCUUGAUGUGUAGGAUAGGUGGGAGGCUUUGAAGCGUGGACGCCAGUCUGCGUGGAGCCAACCUUGAAAUACCACCCUUUAAUGUUUGAUGUUCUAACGUUGGCCCCUGACCGGGGUUGCGGACAGUGUCUGGUGGGUAGUUUGACUGGGGCGGUCUCCUCCCAAAGCGUAACGGAGGAGCACGAAGGUUAGCUAAUCCUGGUCGGACAUCAGGAGGUUAGUGCAAUGGCAUAAGCUAGCUUGACUGCGAGCGUGACGGCGCGAGCAGGUGCGAAAGCAGGUCAUAGUGAUCCGGUGGUUCUGAAUGGAAGGGCCAUCGCUCAACGGAUAAAAGGUACUCCGGGGAUAACAGGCUGAUACCGCCCAAGAGUUCAUAUCGACGGCGGUGUUUGGCACCUCGAUGUCGGCUCAUCACAUCCUGGGGCUGAAGUAGGUCCCAAGGGUAUGGCUGUUCGCCAUUUAAAGUGGUACGCGAGCUGGGUUUAGAACGUCGUGAGACAGUUCGGUCCCUAUCUGCCGUGGGCGCUGGAGAAUUGAGGGGGGCUGCUCCUAGUACGAGAGGACCGGAGUGGACGCAUCACUGGUGUUCGGGUUGUCAUGCCAAUGGCACUGCCCGGUAGCUAAAUGCGGAAGAGAUAAGUGCUGAAAGCAUCUAAGCACGAAACUUGCCCCGAGAUGAGUUCUCCCUGAGACUUUAAGUCUCCUGAAGGAACGUUGAAGACGACGACGUUGAUAGGCCGGGUGUGUAAGCGCAGCGAUGCGUUGAGCUAACCGGUACUAAUGAACCGUGAGGCUUAACCUUACAACGCCGAAG